GGGGCGGCAUCCUCUACGUGCAAGUCGAGCGGUCGCGGGGAGUAGCUUGCUACUUUUGCCGGCGAGCGGCGCAAGGAUGAGUCCAGUCUGGCAAAGUGCGCAGUCCAGGGGCUUAACAGUGGGAAACGACUGCGAAUACCGCAUACGCCCUACGCUGGAAAGCAGGGCACCUUCGGGCCUUGCGCGAUUGUAUAUGCCCGGGUGGCAUUAGCUUGUUGAAGAGGUAAUGGCUGUCCCAGGCGACGAUCCCCAUCUGGGCUGAGAGGAUGAUCCGCCCCACUGAUCCUAACCCUGGACCAACUCUUCAACGGGAGGCAGCAUUGGGGAAUAUUGCCCAAUGGCUGAACCCCUGAUGCAGCCAUGCUGAGUGUGUUAUUCUGGCCUUCGGGCUGUUAAGCAUUUUAAGAGAGGAGGAAAGGUUAAAAAAUUAACGGGUGGUUUAAAAAAAAAAAUUUUCGGCACGAGUCGCAGGCUAACCUCCGUGCCACCAGAAUACGGAAAUACGGAGGGUGCAUCCGUUAUUCUGAAUUACUGGGCCGUAAAGCGCACGCAGUUAGUUG
rnacentral:rRNA from 1 species